rnacentral:rRNA from 1 species
UGGGGAAUAUUGGACAAUGGGGGCAACCCUGAUCCAGCCAUGCCGCGUGAGCGAUGAAGGCCUUAGGGUUGUAGAGCUCUUUCACCGGUGACGAUGAUGACGGUAGCCGGAGAAGAAGCCCCGGCUAACUCCGUGCCAGCAGCCGCGGUAAUACGGAGGGGGCAAGCGUUGUUCGGAAUUACUGGGCGUAAAGGGCGCGCAGGCGGUCUGUUGCGUCAGGCGUGAAAGCCCCGGGCUCAACCCGGGAACUGCGCUUGAUACGGGCGGACUUGAAUCCGAGAGAGGAUGGUGGAAUUCCCAGUGUAGAGGUGAAAUUCGUAGAUAUUGGGAAGAACACCGAUGGCGAAGGCAGCCAUCUGGCUCGGUAUUGACGCUGAGGCGCGAAAGCGUGGGGAGCAAACAGGAUUAGAUACCCCUGUAGUCC